rnacentral:rRNA from 1 species
GAUNAANAACGUANCGAAAUGCGAUACUUGGUGUGAAUUGCAGAAUCCCGUGAACCAUCGAGUCUUUGAACGCAAGUUGCGCCUGAAGCCUUUAGCCAAGGGCACGUCUGCCUGGGCGUCACGCAUCGCGUCGCCCCCAAGCCGUGCUCAUGGAG